AGAGUUUGAUCCUGGCUCAGGAUAAACGCUGGCGGCGCACAUAAGACAUGCAAGUCGAACGAACUUAAUUCGAAUGUUUACAUUUGGAAGCGGUUAGUGGCGGACUGGUGAGUAACACGUAAGCAACCUGCCUAUUAGAGGGGAAUAACAGUGAGAAAUCAUUGCUAAUACCGCAUAUGCCAUAUGUACCACAUGGUACAAGUGGGAAAGGAGCAAUCCGCUAAUAGAUGGGCUUGCGUCUGAUUAGAUAGUUGGUGGGGUAACGGCCUACCAAGUCGACGAUCAGUAGCCGAACUGAGAGGUUGAACGGCCACAUUGGGACUGAGACACGGCCCAGACUCCUGCGGGAGGCAGCAGUAGGGAAUUUUCGUCAAUGGGCGCAAGCCUGAACGAGCGAUGCCGCGUGAGUGAAGAAGGCCUUCGGGUCGUAAAGCUCUGUUGCGGGGGAAAAAAGGCAGCAUCAGGAAAUGGGUGCUGACUGAUGGUGCCCCGCCAGAAAGUCACGGCUAACUACGUGCCAGCAGCCGCGGUAAUACGUAGGUGGCGAGCGUUAUCCGGAAUGAUUGGGCGUAAAGGGUGCGCAGGCGGUCCUGCAAGUCUGGAGUGAAACGCAUGAGCUCAACUCAUGCAUGGCUUUGGAAACUGGAGGACUGGAGAGCAGGAGAGGGCGGUGGAACUCCAUGUGUAGCGGUAAAAUGCGUAGAUAUAUGGAAGAACACCAGUGGCGAAGGCGGCCGCCUGGCCUGUUGCUGACGCUGAGGCACGAAAGCGUGGGGAGCAAAUAGGAUUAGAUACCCUAGUAGUCCACGCCGUAAACGAUGAGGACCAAGUGUUGGGGGUGAAACCUCAGUGCUGAAGUUAACGCAGUGAGUCCUCCGCCUGGGGAGUAUGCACGCAAGUGUGAAACUCAAAGGAAUUGACGGGGGCCCGCACAAGCGGUGGAGUAUGUGGUUUAAUUCGAAGCAACGCGAAGAACCUUACCAGGCCUUGACAUGGGAUGCGAAGAUGCAGAGAUGCAUCGGAGGUCAACAUCCACACAGGUGGUGCAUGGUUGUCGUCAGCUCGUGUCGUGAGAUGUUGGGUCAAGUCCCGCAACGAGCGCAACCCUUGUGGCAUGUUGCUAACAGGAAAAGCUGAGGACUCAUGCCAGACUGCCGGUGACAAACCGGAGGAAGGCGGGGAUGACGUCAAAUCAUCAUGCCCCUUAUGGCCUGGGCUACACACGUACUACAAUGGCGGCUACAAAGAGCAGCGAGACAGGGAUGUCGAGCGAAUCUCAUAAAAGCCGUCCCAGUUCGGAUUGGAGGCUGCAACCUGCCUCCAUGAAGUUGGAAUCGCUAGUAAUCGCGAAUCAGCAUGCCGCGGUGAAUACGUUCCCGGGCCUUGCACUCACCGCCCGUCAA
rnacentral:rRNA from 1 species